rnacentral:lncRNA from 1 species
UUUCACUGUUGCUUGGUGCAUCUUGAAACAAGGCCUUAAUACUUUGAACAAAAGAUGGUUUAGAUUCUUUUGGAGCUUUGGAUCCUAAUGAAUGAGCAUAAGACAUUGAUCUGAUUGAUUUCUCAGAGUUAUUUUUUUUGGGAUCUUUGUAAGACAAUGCUCCAUAUGAUUUAUAGUAAUUUACCCCAUUUGUAUCAUUUGUAGACAUAUGCUCUUCAUAACCAUUUUUGUUGAUGUUUGUGUCACUAGAUUCAAUAACAAUUUCAUUUUUAAAUGAAUCUUCAAGAUUGUUUUUAUUUGAUGGCUUCUGGAAAAAGGAUGCAAUUUUACCAACAAACGACUUUGCUGACUUGUUCUUUGUUUGGCAGGUAGUUGGUGAAACAUAAGACUUUGAAGGUUUCUUUUUGCUUGCUUGAAUGUUUGUAGUUGAGUAAUUUUUCCAUAAAUCUUCUUCAUCAUAAUGUUUAAAUUCUA